rnacentral:rRNA from 1 species
UACGUAUGGUGCAAGCGUUAUCCGGAUUUACUGGGUGUAAAGGGAGCGCAGGCGGUCCUGCAAGUCUGGUGUGAAAGCCCGGGGCUCAACCCCGGGACUGCACUGGAAACUGUAGGACUGGAGUGUCGGAGGGGUAAGCGGAAUUCCUGGUGUAGCGGUGAAAUGCGUAGAUAUCAGGAGGAACACCGGUGGCGAAGGCGGCUUACUGGACGAUGACUGACGCUGAGGCUCGAAAGCGUGGGGAGCAA